rnacentral:rRNA from 1 species
UACGUAGGGAGCAAGCGUUGUCCGGAAUCAUUGGGCGUAAAGCGCGCGUAGGUGGCCUCAUAAGUCCGCUGUGAAAGUCAAAGGCUCAACCUUUGAAAGCCGGUGGAUACUGUGAGGCUAGAGUACGGAAGAGGCGAGUGGAAUUCCUGGUGUAGCGGUGGAAUGCGCAGAUAUCAGGAGGAACACCAAUAGCAAAGGCAGCUCGCUGGAACGUUACUGACACUGAGGCGCGAAAGCGUGGGGAGCGAACAGG